UACGUAGGGUGCGAGCGUUGUCCGGAAUUAUUGGGCGUAAAGGGCUCGUAGGCGGUUUGUCGCGUCGGGAGUGAAAACCUCGGGCUUAACUCGGGGCUUGCUUUCGAUACGGGCAGACUGGAGGUAUGCAGGGGAGAACGGAAUUCCUGGUGUAGCGGUGAAAUGCGCAGAUAUCAGGAGGAACACCGGUGGCGAAGGCGGUUCUCUGGGCAUGACCUGACGCUGAGGAGCGAAAGUGUGGGGAGCAAACAGG
rnacentral:rRNA from 1 species